GUCGGCCAACACCGGAAGCUCCAAAUUAAAAUGCAGGAAAAAAGUCCCUGUGAAGGCAGGCAACCCAUCAAACAUGUUGAGCCAACUCCGGAACCACCAUCCACAACUCCACGUCGAGUGCAAGAGUGGGCGUGCAGCGGACAAGUUGGAUGCCACAGUGACAGUACAUCAUCCUCUAACAACAUCACACAUAGAACACCUGAUGCCUUCCAGAAGCAGCUGCUUAGGUUCCCUCGUCAAACAUGGCAAAAGACCUCACUGCAGUGCUGUCAUAUUUCAUUGCCAAACUUUCACAUAGUUGAGAGGUUCUCUCUGACAUGUGUAAGGCUAGACCUCUCAUAUAUGAACACUAUUGUUUUACACUAGGACAAAAAGUGCAGUUACAUCUUAUGGCCUUUAUGUGCCAUCUUGCACAUUUAUUUGUAUUUAUUUAUGUAAUUUAGUUUCUGCCAUAUUACUCUGUUAAUAAUGCUUAUGUUGCUUUUAUAUGCACAGUUAAUUUCUA